rnacentral:miRNA from 1 species
UCUCACCCUAUGUUCUCCCACAG